CCUACGGGUGGCUGCAGUGGGGAAUAUUGCACAAUGGGCGCAAGCCUGAUGCAGCCAUGCCGCGUGUGUGAAGAAGGCCUUCGGGUUGUAAAGCACUUUCAGCGGGGAGGAAGGCGGUGAGGUUAAUAACCUUAUCGAUUGACGUUACCCGCAGAAGAAGCACCGGCUAACUCCGUGCCAGCAGCCGCGGUAAUACGGAGGGUGCAAGCGUUAAUCGGAAUUACUGGGCGUAAAGCGCACGCAGGCGGUCUGUCAAGUCGGAUGUGAAAUCCCCGGGCUCAACCUGGGAACUGCAUUCGAAACUGGCAGGCUAGAGUCUUGUAGAGGGGGGUAGAAUUCCAGGUGUAGCGGUGAAAUGCGUAGAGAUCUGGAGGAAUACCGGUGGCGAAGGCGGCCCCCUGGACAAAGACUGACGCUCAGGUGCGGAAGCGUGGGGAGCAAACAGGAUUAGAUACCCCGGUAGUC
rnacentral:rRNA from 1 species